ACUCCUACGGGAGGCAGCAGUGGGGAAUAUUGCACAAUGGGCGCAAGCCUGAUGCAGCCAUGCCGCGUGUAUGAAGAAGGCCUUCGGGUUGUAAAGUACUUUCAGCAGUGAGGAAGGUGGGUAUGUUAAUAGCAUAUUCAUUUGACGUUAGCUGCAGAAGAAGCACCGGCUAACUCCGUGCCAGCAGCCGCGGUAAUACGGAGGGUGCGAGCGUUAAUCGGAAUUACUGGGCGUAAAGCGCAUGCAGGUGGUUUGUUAAGUCAGAUGUGAAAGCCCGGGGCUCAACCUCGGAAUUGCAUUUGAAACUGGCAAACUAGAGUACUGUAGAGGGGGGUAGAAUUUCAGGUGUAGCGGUGAAAUGCGUAGAGAUCUGAAGGAAUACCGGUGGCGAAGGCGGCCCCCUGGACAGAUACUGACACUCAGAUGCGAAAGCGUGGGGAGCAAACAGGAUUAGAUACCCUGGUAGGCUCAGC
rnacentral:rRNA from 1 species